rnacentral:tRNA from 1 species
GGUUCGGUAGUUCAGUUGGUGGAACCUCUGCUUAACACGCAGAAGGUCGUUGGUUCAAGUCCGGCACGGAUCA